UACCCCGUAGUGUAAUGGUAACACCUGGGUUUUUGGUACCCAUAUUCUAGGUUCAAAUCCUAGCGGGGUAG
rnacentral:tRNA from 1 species